rnacentral:tRNA from 1 species
UGGGGUGUGGCUCAGCGGUAGAGCACUCGCCUUGCACGCACGAUGCCCUGGGUUCGAGCCUCAGUACCACAU